CAGCCGCCACGGUAAUGCGUAGGGUGCGAGCGUUAAUCGGAAUUACUGGGCGUAAAGCGUGCGCAGGCGGUUGUGUAAGACAGGUGUGAAAUCCCCGGGCUUAACCUGGGAACUGCGCUUGUGACUGCACAGCUAGAGUAUGGCAGAGGGGGGUGGAAUUCCACGUGUAGCAGUGAAAUGCGUAGAGAUGUGGAGGAACACCGAUGGCGAAGGCAGCCCCCUGGGCCAAUACUGACGCUCAUGCACAAAAGCGUGGGGGGCAAACAGGAUUAGAUACCCCCGUAGUCCCUGUCUCUUAUAC
rnacentral:rRNA from 1 species